rnacentral:lncRNA from 1 species
CCAGCAGUCAUCCUUCUACCCAGUACAGGGGAAAUUUCUUUUUCCUGUACUAGGCUUAGGGAAUAGCACUUUGGGGGGCUAACCCCUGGUGCUGCCCUAACCUCUUCCUCACAAAACCUUUCAUACAGCUGUGAGAGGCAAACUUCUCAGUUGUCAGCAUUUCCAGGAAGAAAGAACCCCUUGAGUGAUCUCCAUGUGACCUCGUCUGUCUCAGGUUCAUGAACAUGAAGGUGAGAGCAGCUCUUCCUCACAGCAUGACCAGGCAGUGACAAACACGCCACAUGGAAGGAAAUGAGUGAACAAUCCUCGCAUAUUCUGAACUCCGGGAUCCUGAAAUGCCCUGCAUGAAUCAUCAAGGGACAAAAAGAGGAGACUUUCCAGGGACUGACGCCCUCCCAGCCACCGUGGGAUCCCGGCUACUGUGACUGAGCCCAGUCAUGACUCCAGAGUGCUUCACAUCACAUCAUUCUUUCUCAGCAUCCAAAAUAUGAAGGAACUGAACCUCAGAGAGAAGAGAUAACCCUGGUCGGCCAGUAAACUGUAGAGAUCCAAUUUGAAUUCUCCCCUCUGUCUGGCUCCGACACAUGGGGUUUUCUUAACUCACACUGUGUCACCUGCAGAGUGUUUCCCUUCGGGGGAGAGAAACCCAAAAUAGUGAAAACGAACAGAAAAAGUUUGAAGAGUUCUGCUUCGGCACUUGAAGCCAAUCUCCCUACAGUCUUCUUCCUGUUCAUGCUUCCAAGAUGCUAUCAGGGAGGCUGGGCGCUGGGGACAUUUACACUCCUUGCCUCCCCAACCCCAACCUCGAGGAUUUCUGUAGGGGUGAAAUCACCUCAUUAAAGCUGUACCUUGUUGCGGGGGCGGGGGUGGAUGGGCAGAAGAACUCAUGAGGUGAUCAUA